AAAUUGAAGAGUUUGAUCAUGGCUCAGAUUGAACGCUGGCGGCAGGCCUAACACAAUGCAAGUCGAGCGGUAGCACAGAGAGCUUGCUCUCGGGUGACGAGCGGCGGACGGGUGAGUAAUGUCUGGGAAACUGCCUGAUGGAGGGGGAUAACUACUGGAAACGGUAGCUAAUACCGCAUAACGUCGCAAGACCAAAGUGGGGGACCUUCGGGCCUCAUGCCAUCAGAUGUGCCCAGAUGGGAUUAGCUGGUAGGUGGGGUAACGGCUCACCUAGGCGACGAUCCCUAGCUGGUCUGAGAGGAUGACCAGCCACACUGGAACUGAGACACGGUCCAGACUCCUACGGGAGGCAGCAGUGGGGAAUAUUGCACAAUGGGCGCAAGCCUGAUGCAGCCAUGCCGCGUGUGUGAAGAAGGCCUUCGGGUUGUAAAGCACUUUCAGCGGGGAGGAAGGCGGUGAGGUUAAUAACCUCAUCGAUUGACGUUACCCGCAGAAGAAGCACCGGCUAACUCCGUGCCAGCAGCCGCGGUAAUACGGAGGGUGCAAGCGUUAAUCGGAAUUACUGGGCGUAAAGCGCACGCAGGCGGUCUGUCAAGUCGGAUGUGAAAUCCCCGGGCUCAACCUGGGAACUGCAUUCGAAACUGGCAGGCUAGAGUCUUGUAGAGGGGGGUAGAAUUCCAGGUGUAGCGGUGAAAUGCGUAGAGAUCUGGAGGAAUACCGGUGGCGAAGGCGGCCCCCUGGACAAAGACUGACGCUCAGGUGCGAAAGCGUGGGGAGCAAACAGGAUUAGAUACCCUGGUAGUCCACGCUGUAAACGAUGUCGAUUUGGAGGUUGUGCCCUUGAGGCGUGGCUUCCGGAGCUAACGCGUUAAAUCGACCGCCUGGGGAGUACGGCCGCAAGGUUAAAACUCAAAUGAAUUGACGGGGGCCCGCACAAGCGGUGGAGCAUGUGGUUUAAUUCGAUGCAACGCGAAGAACCUUACCUGGUCUUGACAUCCACAGAACUUUCCAGAGAUGGAUUGGUGCCUUCGGGAACUGUGAGACAGGUGCUGCAUGGCUGUCGUCAGCUCGUGUUGUGAAAUGUUGGGUUAAGUCCCGCAACGAGCGCAACCCUUAUCCUUUGUUGCCAGCGGUUAGGCCGGGAACUCAAAGGAGACUGCCAGUGAUAAACUGGAGGAAGGUGGGGAUGACGUCAAGUCAUCAUGGCCCUUACGACCAGGGCUACACACGUGCUACAAUGGCAUAUACAAAGAGAAGCGACCUCGCGAGAGCAAGCGGACCUCAUAAAGUAUGUCGUAGUCCGGAUUGGAGUCUGCAACUCGACUCCAUGAAGUCGGAAUCGCUAGUAAUCGUAGAUCAGAAUGCUACGGUGAAUACGUUCCCGGGCCUUGUACACACCGCCCGUCACACCAUGGGAGUGGGUUGCAAAAGAAGUAGGUAGCUUAACCUUCGGGAGGGCGCUUACCACUUUGUGAUUCAUGACUGGGGUGAAGUCGUAACAAGGUAACCGUAGGGGAACCUGCGGUUGGAUCACCUCCUUACCUUAAAGAA
rnacentral:rRNA from 1 species